GCACCGCUUUCUAUCAACCCCUGCAAUUUAAAGCUGGUCACAAUGGGCAGGCAGCUAAUAGCCAUGCUCUGCUAAUGAGACAAGCACUCACACAGGCAGCAGUUCUUCAGGAAAUUGCCCAUCACAGCUGGGCUCCUCCCUGCUCAGUUUGGCUAAAGUCUAAGGCAUAGAGGGCUUCAGAUAGUUGGUUACGAGACUGGAACCCUUUUCCCUUGCAUUUCCGUGGGCUAAGGAGACCUCAGCCAUUUACUCUGGUCUCCCUCUUCCCAUGACCACGGUUCCAGCUGAAGGACAAUCAGGAGAGCCAUAGAAGCCCCCAGGUGGCCUUAGAGGAGAGGUAUGAGGGAGUAAAAGAUCUGAAAGCUCUACAUUAAAAUUUAGAGAACAUAAGCUGCCUGGAUCGAGAUCCUUCUGCAUAGUAAUGUGCUUUCCACAGAACUAUAAAUGUUAAAACACAAAAAUUACUACCUGCAUUUUGGAGCAAAUCUCUAAAGAUAAUUAAUGUACAGAGACAAUUUUUUACUUACGAUUAUGCCUUCAAGAUGUAUGGCUGUUGCCCUCAGGAAGAAAAGAUCUGCAUUAUAAAAUUUCUGCAUGAUAGUGGUUGCUUAAAGAACCGCUGGUGAUAUGGGAGAGAUGCUGCCAUUUGCUCUGAAAAUUCCAGGAAUGAUGAGAGGUCGUCAUGACCAAGACGUCACUUCUCAUGAAUGAGGCAUGCAAAAUAUACCUUUUUAUGUGGAACGAUUUAUUUAAAAGAUAACUUCAGUAUCAAAAGGACAAAUGGAAAAAAGUUGAAUCCCUUUUCUUAAAAUAAGGAAAUAGUCUGGGGAAUGGAUGGCUAAAAGCAGCUUAGCAGAAGAUGCUUAAAAUCACUCAAAUGGUUAUGAAAAGUGCUGGCUAAUGUUCAGAAGAAAAUCAUACUCAUAAAUGAUGUUCAGCACUGGCACUGCUGGUGUGUGAUCUGCCCCUGCAUGCCCCCUUCAGCCCUUCCACAUGCAUUGUAAGAAGCUAAAGAGGCAGCGUUUCAUGGAUAAGGUCUAAGCCCAGGCAGGGAAAAGCUUCUACCCUCAAAGAAGGCUACAAUUAAUUAAUAACAUUUGACUUUCAAGAGCAUUGUUAAUGUAAUGUGUAUUUAUUAUCAGGCCGAAAGCAAAUCAGGAGUCUAGGUGAGGCACCCAGGAUAGUGCAGCGAAGCAGUGGGGUGGAAUGGAGCCCCAGGCUUGAGCUAGAAAAGUGGCUUGAUGCAUGGUGGACUAAGUGCUGCCUGUGAAUAGGAAAACCUAUAAAAAUAUCAGUACCCAAAUUCCACUUAGUUAUCUCUGUACAGAGCAAGGUAGAACAGCAAAGCAAUGCUGUCUUUUUUUUUUGCUAAA